GGGACCUGAUGCAGCCAUGCCGCGUGUGUGAAGAAGGCCUUCGGGUUGUAAAGCACUUUCAGUUGUGAGGAAAAGUUAGUAGUUAAUACCUGCUAGCCGUGACGUUAACAACAGAAGAAGCACCGGCUAACUCCGUGCCAGCAGCCGCGGUAAUACGGAGGGUGCGAGCGUUAAUCGGAAUUACUGGGCGUAAAGCGCACGCAGGCGGUUUGUUAAGCUAGAUGUGAAAGCCCCGGGCUCAACCUGGGAUGGUCAUUUAGAACUGGCAGACUAGAGUCUUGGAGAGGGGAGUGGAAUUCCAGGUGUAGCGGUGAAAUGCGUAGAUAUCUGGAGGAACAUCAGUGGCGAAGGCGACUCCCUGGCCAAAGACUGACGCUCAUGUGCGAAAGUGUGGGUAGCGAACAGGAUUAGAUACCCUGGUAGUCCACACCGUAAACGCUGUCUACUAGCUGUUUGUGACUUUAAGUCGUGAGUAGCGAAGCUAACGCGCUAAGUAGACCGCCUGGGGAGUACGGCCGCAAGGUUAAAACUCAAAUG
rnacentral:rRNA from 1 species